GGAGGGUGCGAGCGUUAAUCGGGAAUUACUGGGGCGUAAAGGGGUGAGUAGGUUGUUGAUUAAGUUAUCUGUGAAAGACCCGGGGCUUAACCUGGGGGGGAAGUCAGCUAAGACUGAUUGACUAGAGUAUUGCAGAGGGUAGUGGAAUUUCCGGUGUAGCGGUGAAAUGCGUAGAUAUCGGAAGGAACACCAGUGGCGAAGGCGACUACCUGGGCAGAUACUGACACUGAGUCACGAAAGCGUGGGUAGCGAACAGGAUUAGAUACCCUGGUAGUCCACGCUGUAAACGAUGUCAACUAGCCGUUGGUCAUAUGAAUAUGAUAAGUGGCGCAGCUAACGCGAUAAGUUGACCGCCUGGGGAGUACGGUCGCAAAGAUUAA
rnacentral:rRNA from 1 species